rnacentral:lncRNA from 1 species
UUAGCUCUAGCAUUGGUUUAUUGUUGGGGUUUUUUUAUUUUGUUGUUGCUUCUUAUAGUUGUACUUUAUUAGCCGGUGGGAAUGUAGUUUGUUUGGGGUAGGUAUUCGGUUUUUAUUUUGUUCCUACUUUUUUGUUUUUGUUCCUGAAUUUUUGUAUUCCUCGUGUCUCUAACCCGAGACUCCUUUUUAUUUUUGGCCUUUGUGUCUCUCCUUUUGUAUAUUAUAUUUCCUUUUGUCUUUCAAAUAAAACGAAUUAUUGGUUUUAUACUAGCCAUAUUUUAGCCUUCGAUAACAUCUUUUAUGGCUAAUCCGUC